rnacentral:misc_RNA from 1 species
UCCGGUUUGUCACCGGCAGUCACCUUAGAGCGCCCGCUUUCACGGGUUUCACCCUGCAUGUCAAACCCAGGUAAGGUUCUUCGCGUCGCAUCGAAUUAAGCCGCAUGCUCCGCCGCUUGUGCGGGGCCCCGUCAAUUCCUUUGAGUUUUAGCCUUGCGGCCGUACUCCCCAGGCGGGGUGCUUAAUGCGUUAGCUUCGGCACGGACGGGGUCGAUAUCCGCCCACACCUAGCACCCAACGUUUACGGCUAGGACUAC